UACUUGGUUGAUCCUGCCAAGGAAGCACACUUAGGUCAUAGAUUAAGCCAUGCAAGUGUUAGUUCAGGUAACGAAACUGCGAAUAGCUCAUUAAUACGCUCAGAAUCUAUUUGGCGGCGACCAACAGGUCUUAAAUGGAUAGCAGCAGCAACUCUGGUGCUAAUACAUGCGAUUGUUUCUCCAGAUGUGAAUUAUGGAGGAAAAGUUGACCUCAUCAGAGGCACGCCAUUCGACUGAGUGACCUAUCAGCUUGUACUUAGGGUCUUUACCUAGGUAGGCUAUCACGGGUAACGGGCGGUUACCGUCGGACUGCCGGAGAAGGCGCCUGAGAGAUAGCGACUAUAUCCACGGGUAGCAGCAGGCGCGAAACUUUCCCACUCGAGACUUUCGGAGGAGGUAAUGACCAGUUCCAUUGGUGCCUUUUGGUACUGUGGAUAGGGGUACGGUUUUCCACCGUACCGAAACCUAGCAGAGGGCCAGUCUGGUGCCAGCAGCUGCGGUAAUUCCAGCUCUGCGAGUUUGCUCCCAUAUUGUUGCAGUUAAAACGCCCGUAGUUCUGAAUUGGCCAGCAAUGGUUCGUACGUAUUUUUACGUUCACUGUGAACAAAUCAGGACGCUUAGAGUAUGGCCACAUGAAUGACUCAGCGCA
rnacentral:ncRNA from 1 species